UACAGAGGGUGCAAGCGUUGUUCGGAAUUAUUGGGCGUAAAGGAUGCGUAGGCGGACAUUUAAGUCAGAUGUGAAAUACCCGAGCUUAACUUGGGUGCUGCAUUUGAAACUGGGUGUCUAGAGUGCAGGAGAGGUAAGUGGAAUUCCUAGUGUAGCGGUGAAAUGCGUAGAGAUUAGGAAGAACACCAGUGGCGAAGGCGACUUACUGGACUGUAACUGACGCUGAGGCAUGAAAGCGUGGGGAGCAAACAGG
rnacentral:rRNA from 1 species